GCCCUCGGGGCUGCAUGUUGGAGAGUGGCCGACAAGGGUGGAUCCCAUCACAGGGUCUGCCCCAGCUUGUGUGAGUACACAUAUGCACGUCCCCAAAGCUUUCGCGCAUUCCCGCGUGUGCUGACACUGGACAGGUUCUCGGCUCACAGCACAAGGUUCAACCUUCUUGCACUCCACCCUCAAGCAGCCUGUGUUUCAUCGGGGUAGACAGAUAAUGAACCGUAGGCAAACAGGAAGAGUCUUUGGGAGCGGCACAAGGACAACUCUUAUUUACCUGCAAUAAUGCAUGCCUGCACCAAUUCUCAGCCCCCACACUGAGCCACCAACCUGAGAGGCUUGAAGAGCCACAAAGAGGUCAUGUGAGGAUUUCUUUCUUCACUGCCUCUUCAUCUUCCAGGCUGGUGAGCACGACCUGAACCCCCUGUUCUCAUGAGUUUGUCCUUCCCCCCCCCCCCCCCCCCCCCCCGCCACUGCCCACUGCUGCCCUCCGGGUUAAGGUGUGCUGGGCACACACCCAGAGACCUUUGCACUGCAGUUGGGAAAGUUAUUUGUCGAGAAACUUUUUGCAUCUUUCUUUUCCUCUUGCUGCGGGCUUCUGCCUACAUAACUCUGCAAACUGCAAUGCUGGUUUCCUGUAAAAGCCAAGCAUCCUCCACCUGCUUUUCUCCAUGGAACACACCGAGUCCCUCCAGGUACCAGGGCUACCCCUGCACUGAGUGUGGAUGUGGCCACCACGUCUUGAACUAUGCCAUCUGUCUGUUUAGGCUGCUAUGAUGGCUUGAGGCAGACGUCAUGCCUUAUUCCGCCCUUAUGUAUCUGCAGUGCCUUGAACGGUGUCUGACCCAUAGGACAGUGGCCAGUAAGUGUUUAUUCGAUGGAUAAACAAAUACAGGGAUGUUCCGAGUGAAUGGCUCUGGAGUGCGCACAAGCGCUGUUCCAGUUCAGUGAAAAACGAACAUUUGGCCUCAGCUGGGGGCUCAUUCCGCUUUGGGCUCCAGGGUCAUUUCAGUUCAAGGCUCCGGUAAGGAAUGUGGGGUUUUGCCUGAGCCUGGGCAGGGCUGCUCUCUAAGGUCUGAGAGCAGCCAGCCAGCCGUGGGUACCUCAAUUAGGGGUGGAAAGGGGCCUUUCUUUGUGGAAAUCCCCACGGCCCAGGGCCUGGGACCAAUCCAUGGGGUCACAAGGCUGCGGCGGAGGCCGUGGUGGAGGCCGUGGUAGAGGCUGCGGCAGAGCCAGCCUGCACUUUGCACACACUGCCCGCCCCAGGCGUGACCUUGAUCUCGGACCCUCAGUGACUGCGUCUGACCUGGGACAAUACACAAUGCGGCUGGCACUGCCACAAGCGCCUCAUUGAGCUGGCUCCGAGCAUCCUGGAGGCGGGUGGAGAGGGUUGUUCAGUGAGGAUUCUUUGUUGAGGAGAAAACGCCGUGGCCGCCCACAUAAAUAUGCAAAGCCUCCCGAACCCUGGCCGUGGAAAGAAACCCACCCCGUCACCCCAGAACCAGAACCAGAAUUGCCUACCAAGGAGAAGGAGGGCUGGAAAGAGGGGACAGAUGCGGGCCAGGCCUCUGCCGGGGGCAGGACCAUGCUGUGCGAUCUGAUUCCAUGAGCCCGAUCUGCAGUGCAGUGGCCUUGGCAUCAGUUUUCAGUGGGGGACUUGAGGCUCAGCGAGGCCACAGUGCUUGACCAAGGCCACAUGAGGGUGGCUGAUCCUCAGAAGGACCAGAAAGUCCCCAAACAACAGGAGUGCAGUGAUUAUGACCCUCGGAGCAAUGAU
rnacentral:lncRNA from 1 species